UGAGGAAUCUGUCCAUCGGCGGGGGAUAGCCCGGCCCAACGGCCGGGUAAUACCGCGUACGACCACAUGGGGACAUCCCUGAGUGGUGAAAGCAGCAAUGCGCCGAUGGAGUGCCUCGCGGCCUAUCAGCUAGUUGGUGAGGUAACGGCUCACCAAGGCGACGACGGGUANCUGGUCUGAGAGGAUGGCCAGCCACAUUGGGACUGAGACACGGCCCAGAUCCGUA
rnacentral:rRNA from 1 species